AGGAGUUUGAUCCUGGGCUCAGGAUGAACGCUAGCGGCAGGCCUAAUACAUGCAAGUCGGACGGGAUUGGGGGCUUGCCCCCAUGAGAGUGGCGCACGGGUGCGUAACACGUAUGUAACCUACCCUUAUCUGGGGGAUAGCCUCUCGAAAGAGAGAUUAACACCGCAUAAAAUCACAGUACGGCAUUGUACAAUGAUCAAAUAUUUAUAGGAUAGGGAUGGGCAUGCGGGACAUUAGCUAGUUGGCGGGGUAACGGCCCACCAAGGCUACGAUGUUUAGGGGAUCUGAGAGGAUGGCCCCCCACACUGGUACUGAGACACGGACCAGACUCCUACGGGAGGCAGCAGUAAGGAAUAUUGGUCAAUGGAGGCAACUCUGAACCAGCCAUGCCGCGUGCAGGAAGACAGCCCUAUGGGUCGUAAACUGCUUUUAUACCGGAAUAAACCCCUUUACGUGUAAAGGGUUGAAUGUACGGUAGGAAUAAGGAUCGGCUAACUCCGUGCCAGCAGCCGCGGUAAUACGGAGGAUCCAAGCGUUAUCCGGAUUUAUUGGGUUUAAAGGGCUGCGUAGGCGGCCUGUUAAGUCAGGGGUGAAAUUUUCCGGUCAACCGGAC
rnacentral:rRNA from 1 species